AGCGGGCUGGUCCCAUGAGGUGACUUCUGCCCAGUGCUCUGAUUGUCAAUGCGAAGAGAUUCAGCCAAGCGCGGGUAAACGGCGGGAGUAACUAUGACUCUCUUAAGGUAGCCAAAUGCCUCGUCAACCAAUUAUUGACGCGCAUGAAUGGAUCAACGAGAUUCCUGCUGUCCCUAGUUGCUGUCUGGUGAACCUACCGCCAAGGGAACGGGCUUGGAUGUGUCAGCGGGGAAAGAAGACCCUGUUGAGUUUGACUCUAGUUUGAUACUGUGCAACGACAUGGAGGGUGUAGCACAGGUGGGAGGCGAGUGCCAUUGCCACAGGACACACAGCGACAGAAGCCUUGAGAUUGAGAUUCCGAAGCCUUGUGAGACUCAGCAGCAGCAGAGAUUGCCUUGGUGCAAACCAGCAGUGAAAUACCACUACCUUCACCGUCGUUUUACUCAUCGAGUGGUCUGGGAUCGGCGGCCAUUCAAUCAGCUCUUCCCUCGCGGAGGGGCUGUGGCCAAUACCCGCUUCGUGAGCAAAGUGUGGCACUCUCGUGCUGCACAACCCUGGAGGCUGCAUUCCAAUCAGAAGCCUUGAGACAUCGAUCAGUUGGGGAGUUUGGCUGGGGCGGCACGCCUGUUACAGGACAACGCAGGCGUCCUGAAGCAAUGCUCAGAUGGAACAGAAAUCUCUCACGGAGGAGCAGGCCAAAGGUGCUGCUGAUGCUGCGACUUCCAGUGCAAGUCCGAAACGUGCAAGUGUGGCCUAGCGAUCCUUUGGUUGAGUGCACGAGUUUGGGAUAUUGAAGCCAGAGGUGUCAGAAAAAUUACCACAGGGAUAACUGGCUUGUGGCUGCCAAGCGUUCAAAGCGACGUCGCUUUUUGAUCCUUCGAUGUCGGCUCUUCCUAGCUUCCCACCCGCAGCCGAGUGGAAGAGUUGGAUUGUUCACCCACCAACAGGGAACGUG
rnacentral:rRNA from 1 species